UACGUAGGGUGCGAGCGUUAAUCGGAAUUACUGGGCGUAAAGCGCGCGCAGGCGGUCAUCUACGUCUGGGGUGAAAGCCCGGAGCUCAACUCCGGGACUGCCUUGGAUACGGGAUGACUUGAGGAUCGGAGAGGCAAGGGGAAUUCCACGUGUAGCGGUGAAAUGCGUAGAGAUGUGGAGGAACACCUGUGGCGAAGGCGCCUUGCUGGCCGAUUUCUGACGCUGAGGCGCGAAAGCGUGGGGAGCAAACAGG
rnacentral:rRNA from 1 species